rnacentral:rRNA from 3 species
CAAAUGACUCUCGGCAAUGGAUAUCUCGGCUCUUGCAUCGAUGAAGAACGUAGUGAAAUGCGAUACUUGGUGUGAAUUGCAGAAUCUCGUGAACCAUUGAGUCUUUGAACGCAAGUUGUGCCCGAGGCCUUGUGGUCGAGGGCACGCCUGCUUGGGUGUCAUGGC